UGGAAAAGAAUUGGUGAAGAUGUUUCCAGUGUUGAUCAAUUGAUUGUGAAAAGAUCAAAACAUCAUCAAUGUAGACAAUGGAGCAGUCACUAUAAGGAUUGAUUAUGUCAUUCAUUAUGUUUUGGAAUUCGCUAGGGGCAUUUUUUAAUCCGAAUGGCAUAACAUUCCAUUUAUAAUAACCAAAGGGUGUGACAAAUGCAGUUUUGUAUUUGUCAGUUUCACUAAUUUGAAUUUGCCAAAAUCCUUAUCAAAUUUACUAAAGAUAGCAUAUUUGUUUAACCUUGUUUCUGCAUAAACCCGUAAGCUUAGCAAGAACAUGACAGAACUAGAACACACACACGAUAACAUUUAUAGUGGUUCACCAUGCCGGCGGAGGGCAUGGCUACGUCCACUUGGAAUUCACUAUCGGGAGGCCUCAAUGCCUUUGAUGGUGUUACAAGAUUAUGAGCCUCCAAGAUGUUGCCAUGGGUGGGAGAAGAAGAUCGAUCCCUUCUACUUAGGAGGAACCCUUCCUUUAUAGAUUAGGAAGGUUCCCACUUACAACACACUUUCGAUGUGGGACACAUUACACAUAUUUCUUAUCACGAUGCCUCAUUGCCGUGCUUGGAGGAGGACCUCCUGAUGUGAUAUUGAUGAUCCGACUCCAUGAUGAUGUAGUUUGCAUGUCGGUCUACAAGUUUCAUGACUAGUCUAUGGGCGGGGAAGGUAGUUUAUCAACUACCGACUACAAGUCCCCCCAAGUUCCCAUUCAAGACGUGUCUUGAGUGGGGACUUGAUAUAUAAAGCGCCCAUAGACUAGUCAUUUAUUAACAGGCACCCGGCCCCAGUCCCCCAANNNNNNNNNNNNNNNNNNNNAACGGGAGGCUAGUUGCGGCCGAGCUGGAAGCAAGGUCUCCGGGAGGGGAGCCGUCGGACCCGGCGUUGGAGUCUCCGUGGGAUGCAUCGGACCUAUGCAUCGGAGCCUCCGGGAGAGGAACAAGCUGCCAUCGAGUGCCCAAACUUGAUGACCGGGUGCACAGAGCAAACUCCCUUUUUUUUUUCAAAGGGACUCCGGCGAGCUGCUGCCGAGUCGGGAUCCCGAUUGGUAGCUUCAUCAGCCUUCCCGGUGACUGCAAGAGAGCCCCUCGCCCUUUCCAUUGCUAUACCAGCCCGUGAACUAUCGCUUCCCGGAGACUGCUUCACGUUGCCGGUGAUGCCCCCUCUUUCCGGGCGACACCUUAUCCCGGGCGGAUCUUCGAGUGCUGCCGCUGGAGCCACCGGGAGAAGAAGAUAACCGGGCAGCGGGUGGAGUCGAUCGUCACCUGAGUCGGGAUCCCGAUGGAGGCGUCUUCAGCUCUUGGGUGGUCCCGAUGAUUAAAAGGAUUCCCGGGCGGGCUUGGUGGCUUGGGUCAGAUGGGUUGGGCCUCUCCUGCAACCCCGGGCUGAUUUUCCUGUUGGUGAAGCAACAGACUUCUUGUGUCGACUGCACUCGUUUGGCAAAUGGGAGGUCGGCUCUCAAUGAGAGCACCAAAUGUUUCUGCAUAAACCCGUAAGCUUAGCAAGAACAUGACAGAACUAGAACACACACACACAACAACAUUUAUAGUGGUUCACCAUGCCGGCAGAGGGCAUGGCUACGUCCACUUGGAAUUCACUAUCGGGAGGCCUCAAUGCCUUUGAUGGUGUUACAAGAUUAUGAGCCUCCAAGAUGUUGCCAUGGGUGGGAGAAGAAGAUCGAUCCUUUCUACUUAGGAGGAACCCUUCCUUUAUAGAUUAGGAAGGUUCCCACUUACAACACACUUUCGAUGUGGGACACAUUACACAUAUUUCUUAUCACGAUGCCUCAUUGCCGUGCUUGGAGGAGGACCUCCUGAUGUGAUAUUGAUGAUCCGACUCCAUGAUGAUGUAGUUUGCAUGUCGGUCUACAAGUUUCAUGACUAGUCUAUGGGCGGGGAAGGUAGUUUAUCAACUACCGACUACAAGUCCCCCCAAGUUCCCAUUCAAGACGUGUCUUGAGUGGGGACUUGAUAUAUAAAGCGCCCAUAGACUAGUCAUUUAUUAACAGGCACCCGGCCCCAGUCCCCCCAAGUCCGUACUCAAGAGGUGUGUUGAACAGGUUUUGCAUGUUCCGGGUCUUGCUUGUCUUGACGUACACCGUAAUCUUUAAAUCCGCCGAUAAGACAAAAAUGCCCAUCCCGACUCCCGGCCUCAAAACUUAUUCGGCCAGGCGAGGAUUAUUGUACCUUCACAAUUAACAAAUGAUCGAUUAGCAGCUUACAUAAUUUCUUGGUGGAAUGCCUCUCGGUCUAAUGCCAAUCUCCCGGUCGAAUGCGUAUCCCGCUUGAUAUUAGUCAGGAUGUUAAUGACUUAUGCCUCUCAGUCUAAUGCCUAUCCCGCUUGAUAUUACUCGGGAUUUUAAUGACUUAUACCUCUCGGUCGAAUGCCAAAACCUACUGACCAGCAUGCAUACUCAUAUACAUAUACAGGUUGACUUGCAAGUAAGACGAAAUCAUGUCAUCAAUAUUAUGAACUUUCACAAACCACGAGAUAGGGACUUAUCUGUGAAAAUAGCUGCUAAAUGGGUGCACCCAGUAGACCGGAAGUGUGAACUGUGAACACUAAAGACUUUCAAGAUAGGGUCCGGGAGGGUAGAAUCAUGUUGCUAUAGGUUUCCCUCUUCUUUCUUUUCACCCUCUCUUUCUUUUUUUUNNNNNNNNNNNNNNNNNNNNUCAAUGCCUUUGAUGGUGUUACAAGAUUAUGAGCCUCCAAGAUGUUGCCAUGGGUGGGAGAAGAAGAUCGAUCCUUUCUACUUAGGAGGAACCCUUCCUUUAUAGAUUAGGAAGGUUCCCACUUACAACACACUUUCGAUGUGGGACACAUUACACAUAUUUCUUAUCACGAUGCCUCAUUGCCGUGCUUGGAGGAGGACCUCCUGAUGUGAUAUUGAUGAUCCGACUCCAUGAUGAUGUAGUUUGCAUGUCGGUCUACAAGUUUCAUGACUAGUCUAUGGGCGGGGAAGGUAGUUUAUCAACUACCGACUACAAGUCCCCCCAAGUUCCCGUUCAAGACGCGUCUUGAGUGGGGACUUGAUAUAUAAAGCGCCCAUAGACUAGUCAUUUAUUAACGGGCACUCGGCCCCAGUCCCCCCAAGUCCGUACUCAAGAGGUGUGUUGAACUGGUUUUGCGUGUUCCGGGUCUUGCUUGUCUUGACGUACACCAUAAUCUUUAAAUUCGCCGAUAAGACAAAAAUGCCCAUCCCAACUCCCGGCCUCAAAACUUAUUCGGCCAGGCGAGGAUUAUUGUACCUUCAUAAUAAACAAAUGAUCGAUUAGCAGCUUACAUAAUUUCUUGGUGGAAUGCCUCUCGGUCUAAUGCCAAUCUCCCGGUCGAAUGCGUAUCCCGCUUGAUAUUAGUCAGGAUGUUAAUGACUUAUGCCUCUCGGUCUAAUGCCUAUCCCGCUUGAUAUUACUCGGGAUUUUAAUGACUUAUACCUCUCGGUCGAAUGCCAAAACCUACUGACCAGCAUGCAUACUCAUAUACAUAUACAGGUUGACUUGCAAGUAAGACGAAAUCAUGUCAUCAAUAUUAUGAACUUUCACAAACCACGAGAUAGAGACUUAUAUGUGAAAAUAGCUGCUGAAUGGGUGCACCCAGUAGACCGAAAGUGUGAACUGUGAACACUAAAGUCUAUGGGCGGGGAAGGUAGUUUAUCAACUACCGACUACAAACCUGUUAAUGAGAUCUCGUUUAUUGGGAAUGAGAUACUUGAUCCAUUGUAAAACUGUGUUAAGGGGUUUGUAAUUAAUAACUAGACGAGGAGUCCCUCUUUCGAGUUCAGCAUUUUUCUGAACAUAGAAAGCUAGGCAAGACCAAGGGGAUUUACUUGGGCGAAUAAUAUCUUUGUUAA
rnacentral:lncRNA from 1 species